GCUAUCAAGACCAGAUUAGGCUGGACCCUGCAAGGUCCCACUCAAGAGAUCAAGCAUUGCCUUUCCAGCCAGCAGUGUCUCUUUACUGCUACUUCAAGCUCAUAUACCAACCUGUACAGACAAGUUGAGAAAUUGUGGCAACUAGACGUGCUCCCGUACCGCAGUGAGAAACUCAUUACUCGCUCUAAGCAAGAUCAAGAUGCCCUUGCACUGCUCGAGUCCAAGACUACUAGAAAUUAUAGAGAAGCCGAACUAGCCCUCCUUCAUCAAGCACAAAUCCAUAGUUUCCCAGUUGAGAUGGAUCAUCUUAAGUCAGGAAAACCUCUACCGAUAAACAGUCGUCUCUUGUGUCUUGCCCCAGAGUAUGACAGCAGUACCCACCUCAUCAGAGUUGGUGGUCGUCUCAGACGAACAGAGCAGCUAGACGAAUCCGCCAUACACCCUAUAGUCCUCGAGCCUAAGCAUCACCUAAGCAGACUCAUCAUCCAGGACUUCGAUGAAAUUCUACACCAUCCGGGAGCAGAGAGGGUGUUUGCUGAAAUACGUCGUAAGUACUGGAUACUGAGAGGCCGAGAAGCUAUUCGGCAUCACCAGAGAACGUGCUUAGGCUGUAAACAGUGGAGAGGCCAGCCCAGCAUUCCCAGGAUGGCCGACUUGCCUCUUUCAAGAUUGCGCUUACAUCAACCAGCCUUCUACUCCACUGGAGUGGAUUGUUUUGGCCCUUACCUCAUCAAGAUUGGGCGCAGACAUGAGAAACGAUGGGGUAUCAUAUUUAAGUGUCUGACAACGAGAGCUGUAUACCUGGACCUGCUCUAUCAGAUGGACACAGAUUCAUUCUUAAUGGCCCUCCGAAGAUUCAUCUCCCGCAGGGGCAAGCCAUUUGAGAUCAUCUCUGACCAAGGUACAAACUUCAGAGGUGGUGAGAGAACACUACAAGAAGAUUUUGCUGUGCUCCAUCCUUCCCUCCAUGAAAAAUUAGCCAGCCACCAGAUUAGUUUUAAGUUCAACCCCCCAGGAGCUUCACACUUUGGAGGCUGUUGGGAAAGAGAAAUAAGAUCCCUGAAAUCAGCUCUUUGUUCUACUAUAGGGGAUCAAAUUGUGACCGAGGAAGUACUGCGUACUGUGCUUGUUGAGAUUGAAGGCAUUCUCAAUUCAAAGCCAAUCGGAUAUACGUCCUCAGACAUAGCUGACCUUGACCCAAUCACUCCCAACAUGUUGCUCAUGGGGCGGCCUGACUCAUCCUUGCCACAAGCAGUAUAUCCUGAAUCAGAGUUGCUAAGCAAACGGAGAUGGAGACACAGUCAGCUUCUGGCAGACCAAUUCUGGAGACGUUUCCUCCGUAACUAUCUCCCAGACCUGCAAGUCCGACAGAAGUGGCACAGAGAGGCAGAAAAUCUACAGCCAGGCACAGUUGUCAUGAUUGUUGAUCAUCAAUUACCCCGAGCUCUAUAGCCAGUUGGACAAGUAACAAAAGUGUUUCCUGGAGAAGAUAGGCGAACUCGGACUGCAGAAGUGGAAGUCAAGAAUAAGACCUAUCUUCUUACCAUCACCCGGCUCAUCAGCCUCACAGCUUUACCAGAUUGAGUACUCUGUAGUACUAUCCCUUACCUUCGUGCCUUAUCUAAAUUACACAUUUCCACAGCAAAUGUGGGGGCGGCUGUAGAAAAGACCGGCUAUGUACAGAGCCAUUAGUGCCCCCUUGUGACUUUAAGAGCUAUUGUGUUGAUGACUUUUGGCAUUUCCCUUUAACGAUCCCUUUAACAGUAUUAACAAGACGCAGUUCAGACAUUCUUCGCUGUUGUUCAUGCCGUUGUUGUUUUCUACUGAGUGCGUUCAUAUACAAAACCACUCAUAUUAAGCUACAUUCCAAACUACUCUGUACAACUCUGGCAUACUCUCUGCUGCCUGUACUACAAUCGUUCACUCAACCAAAUUCAAGAACUGUAAAUCCUCUACAAGUCUGAAACCAUUAAAGUGUACUUCGUCUCUGACCCGGACGACUUAUGUCUGCUCAAUUUCCACCAGCACCCACAAUAGUC
ensembl:lncRNA